rnacentral:rRNA from 1 species
UGGGGAAUCUUGCGCAAUGGGCGAAAGCCUGACGCAGCGACGCCGCGUGAGCGAUGAAGGCCUUCGGGUUGUAAAGCUCUGUGGGGAGGAAAGAAUAAGGCUUGGCUAAUAUCCAAGCCGAUGACGGUACCUCCUUAGCAAGCACCGGCUAACUCUGUGCCAGCAGCCGCGGUAAGACAGAGGGUGCAAACGUUGUUCGGAAUUACUGGGCGUAAAGCGCGUGUAGGCGGCCCUGCAAGUCGGGUGUGAAAUCCCAUGGCUCAACCAUGGAAGUGCACUCGAAACUGCAGGGCUAGAGUCCUGGAGAGGAAGGUGGAAUGCUUGGUGUAGAGGUGAAAUUCGUAGAUAUCAAGCGGAACACCGGUGGCGAAGGCGGCCUUCUGGACAGUGACUGACGCUGAGACGCGAAAGCGUGGGGAGCAAACAGG